GCUUUCGUUGGUAGUGUAUUGGACUACCAUGGCUCUCACGGGUAACAGGGAAUUAGGGUUCGAUUCUGGAGAAGGAGCCUGAGAAACGGCUACUACAUCUACGGAAGGCAGCAGGCGCGUAAAUUACCCAAUCCUGACUCAGGGAGGUGGUGACAAGAUAUAACAACGAGACUAUAAAUCUCGAUUGUAGUGAGGGUAUUCUAAAUAGAACCUAUAGUACGAUUAGAGGGCAAG
rnacentral:rRNA from 1 species